rnacentral:rRNA from 1 species
UGUAAUGAAUUCAAUUUAGACCCAUUGGAGGGCAAGUCUGGUGCCAGCAGCCGCGGUAAUUCCAGCUCCAUUUGUUGAAAGUUGCUGCAGUUAAAAAGCUCGUAGUUGAACGUCUGCCUGCUGUUCGUUCGGGCGUUUACUGUGAAAAAUUAGAGUGCUCAAAACAGGCUUUCGCUGGAUUUUUUAGCAUGGAAUAAUAAAAUACGUUUUAUUGGUUCUGGACGAAGUAAUAGGAACAGUUGGGGGUAUAGUCAGAGGUGAAAUUUAGAUUUUUUAAGACGAACUAAUGCGAAGGCAUUACCAAGGAUGUUUUCAUUAAUCAAGAACGAAAGUGGGAUCAAAAAGGAUCAGAUACCCUUGUAGUCA